rnacentral:snoRNA from 1 species
AUCCUUUUGUAGUUCAUAAGUGUGAUGAUUGGGUGUUCACGCUGUUGUGUGACAUGUGCCUACCUCAAACCUUGUUAACAACCUCAGCAAUUACCCAUCUGAUG